rnacentral:rRNA from 1 species
CAGUAGCCGCGGUAAUACGGAGGGGGCUAGCGUUGUUCGGAAUUACUGGGCGUAAAGCGCACGUAGGCGGCUUGGUAAGUUAGAGGUGAAAGCCCGGAGCUCAACUCCGGAAUUGCCUUUAAGACUGCCGAGCUAGCAGGUGAGAGAGGUAAGUGGAAUUCCGAGUGUAGAGGUGAAAUUCGUAGAUAUUCGGAAGAACACCAGUGGCGAAGGCGGCUUACUGGCUCAUACUGGACGCUGAGGUGCGAAAGCGUGGGGAGCAAACAGGAUUAGAUACCCCGGUAGUCCCUGUCUCUUAUAC